rnacentral:rRNA from 2 species
GACCGCCUGGGGAGUACGGCCGCAAGGUUAAAACUCAAAUGAAUUGACGGGGGCCCGCACAAGCGGUGGAGCAUGUGGUUUAAUUCGAUGCAACGCGAAGAACCUUACCUGGUCUUGACAUCCACAGAACUUUCCAGAGAUGGAUUGGUGCCUUCGGGAACUGUGAGACAGGUGCUGCAUGGCUGUCGUCAGCUCGUGUUGUGAAAUGUUGGGUUAAGUCCCGCAACGAGCGCAACCCUUAUCCUUUGUUGCCAGCGGUUAGGCCGGGAACUCAAAGGAGACUGCCAGUGAUAAACUGGAGGAAGGUGGGGAUGACGUCAAGUCAUCAUGGCCCUUACGACCAGGGCUACACACGUGCUACAAUGGCAUAUACAAAGAGAAGCGACCUCGCGAGAGCAAGCGGACCUCAUAAAGUAUGUCGUAGUCCGGAUUGGAGUCUGCAACUCGACUCCAUGAAGUCGGAAUCGCUAGUAAUCGUAGAUCAGAAUGCUACGGUGAAUACGUUCCCGGGCCUUGUACACACCGCCCGUCACACCAUGGGAGUGGGUUGCAAAAGAAGUAGGUAGCUUAACCUUCGGGAGGGCGCUUACCACUUUGUGAUUCAUGACUGGGGUGAAGUCGUAACAAGGUAACCGUAGGGGAACCUGCGGUUG